AUGAAUAUUAUAUUGACAGAGAGGAAGAAGAAAGAAAGAAAGAAAGAAAGAAAGAAAGAAAGAAAGAAAGAAAGAAAGAAAGAAAGAAAGAAAGAAAGAAAGAAAGAAAGAAAGAAAGAAAGAAAGAAAGAAAGAAAGAAAGAAAGAAAGAAAGGAAGGAAGGAAGGAAGGAAGGAAGGAAGGAAGGAAGGAAGGAAGGAAGGAAGGAAGAAAAGAAAGAGGAAAAGUUUAUGUGAAAUAUUGAUCCUGUCCUCAAAGAAAAUGGGUUGCCUAGAUGAGCCAAUAUCUCAAGUCAGAUUUGGCCAUUGACAUCUUUGAAAUGAACAAGAUUGUCUACAAGGAGCCAUGGACCUUUCUAAGAAGUCAAGAGAAUUAUUAACAAAAAUAAUAAUAAUAAUGAAGAAUUAAUUUCAUAUAUAACUUUAAGGUUUACAAAGAACCCAACAAAUAUUAUCUCAAGUUACAGGUGAGGGAAUUUGACCCUGAGAGGAAUUAAAUGACUUGUCAAGGUAUUAAGUGUAGGGGGAUAGAUUAGAAGUCAAAUCUUCCUGAUUCCAGGGACAGCACUCGAACCAGUGACCUACCAAACUGCCUAUUAAAAUAAGGAAUAACUUGUAGUAGGCUACAAACAAGAAACACUGAUUCUCAUGUGACAAUCAAUUUGAAUUUCAGCUGAGAGAGAAAAGGAUAAAAGAGUUUCCAACUCGGGAAUAAAUGGUAGAUUUGAGCUUUAAAGGGGGAGAUG
rnacentral:lncRNA from 1 species